CAGCAGUUCAAGUUGCAUCCCUUUUUAUUGGGCCUAAAGCAUCCGUAGCCGGCUCUGUAAGUUUUCGGUUAAAUCUGUACGCUCAACGUACAGGCUGCCGGGAAUACUGCAGAGCUAGGGAGUGGGAGAGGUAGACGGUACUCGGUAGGAAGGGGUAAAAUCCUUUGAUCUAUUGAUGACCACCUGUGGCGAAGGCGGUCUACCAGAACACGUCCGACGGUGAGGGAUGAAAGCUGGGGGAGCAAACCGGAUUAGAUACCCGCGUAGUCC
rnacentral:rRNA from 1 species